GACGAACGCUGGCGGCGUGCUUAACACAUGCAAGUCGAACGAAGAGCGAUGGAAGCUUGCUUCUAUCAAUCUUAGUGGCGAACGGGUGAGUAACGCGUAAUCAACCUGCCCUUCAGAGGGGGACAACAGUUGGAAACGACUGCUAAUACCGCAUACGAUCUAAUCUCGGCAUCGAGGAUAGAUGAAAGGUGGCCUCUACAUGUAAGCUAUCACUGAAGGAGGGGAUUGCGUCUGAUUAGCUAGUUGGAGGGGUAACGGCCCACCAAGGCGAUGAUCAGUAGCCGGUCUGAGAGGAUGAACGGCCACAUUGGGACUGAGACACGGCCCAGACUCCUACGGGAGGCAGCAGUGGGGAAUCUUCCGCAAUGGACGAAAGUCUGAUGGAGCAACGCCGCGUGAGUGAUGACGGCCUUCGGGUUGUAAAGCUCUGUUAAUCGGGACGAAAGGCCUUCUUGCGAAUAGUGAGAAGGAUUGACGGUACCGGAAGAGAAAGCCACGGCUAACUACGUG
rnacentral:rRNA from 1 species